UACGGAGGGGGCUAGCGUUGUUCGGAAUUACUGGGCGUAAAGCGCGCGUAGGCGGCUUUGUAAGUUAGAGGUGAAAGCCCAGGGCUUAACCCUGGAAUUGCCUUUAAGACUGCAUCGCUAGAAUCGUGGAGAGGUGAGUGGAAUUCCGAGUGUAGAGGUGAAAUUCGUAGAUAUUCGGAAGAACACCAGUGGCGAAGGCGGCGAUCUGGGUCGAUACUGACGCUGAGGUGCGAAAGCGUGGGGAGCAAACAGG
rnacentral:rRNA from 1 species